ACCGACGGGAGCUUGCUCCCUUAGGUCAGCGGCGGACGGGUGAGUAACACGUGGGUAACCUGCCUGUAAGACUGGGAUAACUCCGGGAAACCGGGGCUAAUACCGGAUGCUUGAUUGAACCGCAUGGUUCAAUCAUAAAAGGUGGCUUUCAGCUACCACUUACAGAUGGACCCGCGGCGCAUUAGCUAGUUGGUGAGGUAACGGCUCACCAAGGCGACGAUGCGUAGCCGACCUGAGAGGGUGAUCGGCCACACUGGGACUGAGACACGGCCCAGACUCCUACGGGAGGCAGCAGUAGGGAAUCUUCCGCAAUGGACGAAAGUCUGACGGAGCAACGCCGCGUGAGUGAUGAAGGUUUUCGGAUCGUAAAACUCUGUUGUUAGGGAAGAACAAGUACCGUUCGAAUAGGGCGGCACCUUGACGGUACCUAACCAGAAAGCCACGGCUAACUACGUGCCAGCAGCCGCGGUAAUACGUAGGUGGCAAGCGUUGUCCGGAAUUAUUGGGCGUAAAGCGCGCGCAGGCGGUUUCUUAAGUCUGAUGUGAAAGCCCCCGGCUCAACCGGGGAGGGUCAUUGGAAACUGGGGAACUUGAGUGCAGAAGAGGAGAGUGGAUUCCACGUGUAGCGGUGAAAUGCGUAGAGAUGUGGAGGACCACCAGUGGCGAAGGCGACUCUCUGGUCUGUAACUGACGCUGAGGCGCGAA
rnacentral:rRNA from 1 species